UCUGGGGUCCGGCGUAGCCGGAAUCUCAGA
rfam:Oesophagostomum dentatum strain OD-Hann O_dentatum-1.0_Cont52.34, whole genome shotgun sequence.